UGACCGCUGGCGGCGUGCCUACUACAUGCAAGUCGAGCGACCGGACGAGAAGCUUGCUUCUCUGAUGUUAGCGGCGGACGGGUGAGUAACACGUGGAUAACCUACCUAUAAGACUGGGAUAACUUCGGGAAACCGGAGCUAAUACCGGAUAAUAUUUUGAACCGCAUGGUUCAAAAGUGAAAGACGGUCUUGCUGUCACUUAUAGAUGGAUCCGCGCUGCAUUAGCUAGUUGGUAAGGUAACGGCUUACCAAGGCAACGAUGCAUAGCCGACCUGAGAGGGUGAUCGGCCACACUGGAACUGAGACACGGUCCAGACUCCUACGGGAGGCAGCAGUAGGGAAUCUUCCGCAAUGGGCGAAAGCCUGACGGAGCAACGCCGCGUGAGUGAUGAAGGUCUUCGGAUCGUAAAACUCUGUUAUUAGGGAAGAACAUAUGUGUAAGUAACUGUGCACAUCUUGACGGUACCUAAUCAGAAAGCCACGGCUAACUACGUG
rnacentral:rRNA from 1 species